UACGUAGGGUGCAAGCGUUAAUCGGAAUUACUGGGCGUAAAGCGUGCGCAGGCGGUGGCUCAAGCCAGGCGUGAAAUCCCCGGGCUUAACCUGGGAAUGGCGUUUGGGACUGGGUCGCUAGAGUGUGGCAGAGGGAGGUGGAAUUCCACGUGUAGCAGUGAAAUGCGUAGAGAUGUGGAGGAACACCGAUGGCGAAGGCAGCCUCCUGGGCCAGCACUGACGCUCAUGCACAAAAGCGUGGGGAGCAAACAGG
rnacentral:rRNA from 1 species